AUAGAACGCUGGCGGCAGGCUUAACACAUGCAAGUCGAGCGGGGUGAUGGUGCUUGCACUAUCACUUAGCGGCGGACGGGCGAGUAAUGCCUAGGAAUCUGCCUAUUAGUGGGGGACAACAUCUCGAAAGGGAUGCUAAUACCGCAUACGUCCUACGGGAGAAAGCAGGGGAUCACUUGUGACCUUGCGCUAAUAGAUGAGCCUAAGUCGGUUUAGCUAGUUGGUGGGGUAAAGGCCUACCAAGGCGACGAUCUGUAGCGGGUCUGAGAGGAUGAUCCGCCACACUGGGACUGAGACACGGCCCAGACUCCUACGGGAGGCAGCAGUGGGGAAUAUUGGACAAUGGGGGGAACCCUGAUCCAGCCAUGCCGCGUGUGUGAAGAAGGCCUUAUGGUUGUAAAGCACUUUAAGCGAGGAGGAGGCUCUUUUGGUUAAUACCCAAGAUGAGUGGACGUUACUCGCAGAAUAAGCACCGGCUAACUCUGUGCCAGCCGCCGCGGUAA
rnacentral:rRNA from 1 species